GCAAGAUUAGGGGAGUCGGUUAUGCUUGAGUCAAUCCACUCGGGGUGGACAGCUGUCAUGCACAUCAUAAAGUGAGUCGGCUGUGAUAACAGGGACAGCUCACACACUAAGGCAUUGGCCCAUCGAGGCUAUGGAGUGCACCAAACAGAUCAUACGAUAGACCAAAUGCAAGCUGCUCUGCACUGUAUAUGGUUCUGCUCUUAAGUAUGUGGUUUUGAUG
rnacentral:lncRNA from 1 species